CCACGCGUCUUCUAUUGUCAGAGCUUAACAUACACAUAUCCCCCUUUCAAAGACUCGCAAAAUUUUUCUCAAUUUCUUCAUUUAUAAUUUAUACAGAUUCGCGUAUUACAUACGAAUCGGAAAUUCUGUCAAAAUUUGCAGUCUAUAUCUAGAGGAGCGAAGGAAGGCGCAAGAUUACAGAGAAACUGGCUUCCGAUUAAAAUUCCGGUUCUCACACGAGUUGUUGCUUCUUAACAACAGUGGUGGAGCAGGAAUUAUUUGGUUGAGAGUUCAAUCUCUUCAGUUCUACAAGUGGCUCAGUCUUCAGAAAUACUUGGCAGAGAAUAGCUACUUGGUCGAUGAUGGCUCUUCUUGGAUUGAAAAGACGAGCAAAUGAUUUCACCACUAAUGACAGAAAGCGGAAUUGCAAUAGAGUUAAUGAACCACAGGACAUUGAGAGAGAAGGAAUGGUCGGUGAAAUUACUUUUGAGAUUCUCAAACUGCCGUUCGAAAUAAUAUGCAACAUACUGUCAAGACUUCCUCUCAAGACUAUAAUCUGCUGCAGAAGUGUUUGCAAGAAGUUCCUUAAAAUGCUCAAAGAUCCUUACUUUGCUAAUGUACAUCUUGCCAGAGCUCCUUCCACCACAGCCAGCCUGAUUCUUCAAAGUUAUGGUGGAAAUAAGGGAUUUUACUUCUACACAAUUGACCUUGAUGAAACCUCUCAUGCCAUUUCAGACAGCACAGGUCCAUACAAAUUUCCUUCACCUUGUCGUUCUCAUCAUGAAUUAACUAAGCAGAAUGCCGAAUUCUGCUUCCAGAGCAGGCAUGUUACUUUUGUCGGUUCUUGUAAUGGCCUGCUUUGUUUAUAUUCUUCAUUGCCUAAACCUUUCUACUAUGUGUGCAAUCCUAUUCUUGGUGAAUCUGUCGUUCUUCCUCCUCCAACUCCAUUGGCACCAGAUUCUACUUACUACUUGUCUGGUUUUGGAUUCUGUCCAAAGACUAAACAGUACAAAGUUGUUCGAUUCCUGUGUUCGGUAUCUGUUAACCAUGUCACGAACAGUGUUUCAAAAGAAAUGGCAGCUGAGAUUUACACACUUGGGUCAGAUUCCUGGAGGAGGAUAGGGAAAGCUCCCUGCCCUAAGAGAGGGGGAUCAUUUGAUCCUUUUAUCAAUGGUUCUCUGCACUGGAUCAUUGAAACUGCUAAAACCUCUGAGCAAAUAUGUUCAUUUGACUUGAACACUGAGCAAUUCAGAACUCUACCCUCGCCUCCUCACUUCAAUGCAAACUAUAUUAAAAAAGUUUCCUGGAUAAAUAUUGGUACCCUUGGAGGGCAUUUCUGUUUGUGCUAUAUUUAUGAUGAUGCUUGCUUGGAGGUUUGGGUGAUGAAAGAUUAUGGAGUGAAGGAGUCCUGGAGUAGAGAAUUCAGCAUAGACAUAAAGUUCUAUUGUGGUCUGAAAGUGGAAAAUCUGCGGCAACCCGUUAAAUUCCUGAACAAUGGUGAUAUGUGGCUCAUGUGCAGUUCUAAUUCUCUGGCUUCUUAUAACCCAAGGAAGGGAACUUUCAGAGACUUCAAAGCCCUGGCAAAGUGGAAGUCUGAAGUUAUUGCUCUUGUUCCCAGCUUUGUAUCACUGAAAGAUGCCAUGUCAAGCAAAAAUCUGAGAGUGGAAAGUUUGAGUCGAAGAAUACCGAAAAUUUAUUGUUGAAAUCUUGCUUGCUUGCUUGCUUGCUGCCUGCAUAGAGGAGGUUAGUAGAGGCUUGUAUAGCUAAACUGCUUGGGCAAAAGAAGUAUGUAUUCUCUUAGCAUAUAUGUUUUUAUUUAUUAUUAUACUCUCUCAAUGAGGUUCUGAGGAUUUAUAUUAUAUAGACAGAGCUCGGAUUUUCAACAUAAAACAGUAAAGAGGUGCAGAAAUAAUGAUCUCCCAUGUGUGUAUCCUGCAGACACAUGUUCCUUUCAAUGAGAUGUUUGAUGGUUGAUGAGUUCUGUCAGGCAUGGUU